rnacentral:rRNA from 1 species
AACGAACGCUGGCGGCAUGCCUAACACAUGCAAGUCGAACGAGACCUUCGGGUCUAGUGGCGCACGGGUGCGUAACGCGUGGGAAUCUGCCCUUCGGUUGGGAAUAACUGAGAGAAAUUUCAGCUAAUACCUUAUAAUGUCUUCGGACCAAAGAUUUAUCGCCGAGGGAUGAGCCCGCGUAGGAUUAGGUAGUUGGUGGGGUAAUGGCCUACCAAGCCGACGAUCCUUAGCUGGUCUGAGAGGAUGAUCAGCCACACUGGGACUGAGACACGGCCCAGACUCCUACGGGAGGCAGCAGUGGGGAAUAUUGGACAAUGGGCGUAAGCCUGAUCCAGCAAUGCCGCGUGAGUGAUGAAGGCCUUAGGGUUGUAAAGCUCUUUUACCCGGGAUGAUAAUGACAGUACCGGGAGAAUAAGCUCCGGCUAACUCCGUG